AGAUUUAUUCAGAAGUAUAUUCAAAAAGAAGGGAGGAAAAGUCAAAAGUAAAGACUAAUACUUUUCGUUAUCCGAAAAAAAAACAGGUUAGAAACCGCCUCAAAAAAGUGAGGAACAUCUGCCAAACCUGAUCACAGAACAUCGGUGACAACAAUGGAGUCUUGAGGCUAUAGAGGUUAAAUAUAAAUAAUGGUGCAAACAAGCAUCCAUGAAUGGCCACAAAGAGCCGCUCAAUACAUCUGAGCUCUAAAAUGACAUACAUGAAUAACUGAAAUUAAAUGGAAAAAUAUAUAAUCAUACAAAAAGCAGAAACCUCUCUGACAUUCAUAAGAUUCAUAAGACACCACGCAUGCUCCAAUUCUAACAGAUAAACACAAUUGUACUUGAUAAAGCCUUCACCUUCUUCUAUAAUCAUCCUGACCAGCAUGAUCACAGUAUGAUCCCAGUGAUAACCUUCUAGUUCACUUGUUGUUGCUGUUCUUUAAAUAUUUCAUGGUAUGUCUUCAAGUCUUCUUGCGAAAAUAGCAAUAUUUCCAUUAGCAGUCACAAGCCAUAAAUGUCCUGUAAUUGUAAUGGUUUACAUAGGGAAGCCGUAGAUUGCUUACAAUGUGCUUAUGCAAAUGCAAUACACAAGGGUUACACUGUGUUUUUACUACAAGCUGUUCCCCCUCCCCUACCCUAUCUCCAGCGUACUGCUAGAUACUUCUAAUUUUAAGAUCCUUAUUCCUGCUCCCCAUGAACACUCCACAGCAUGCCGGUAGUGUGGAAGUACAUAAAGUGUCAACCUCAGCUUAGUUUUUAACCUGGAGUGAUAGCUUUACUGAUUUGCCACUUUAGUACUCUUGUUAAUGAAUUUUUAAUCUUCUUAAUGACAUUAAACACGGAAAGUAAUUAAGGAAAACAAGUUUGAAACUGCUGACUUAAACCCUUUAUUCAGAACUAUUUAAUGUAGAAUUAAUUUGAUUUUGCCCAUUAUUCAAAUGAACGCAGUACCUUUCCAAGCAUUGGAAAUUCCUUUCUCAUUAUACAAUAUAUGGCCUGCGAUUUGAUAUAAUACAGUGAACCCAUAAAAAAAGAUCUCCACAUCAAGCAGGUUUGUUGACGUUGAUAAAUAUGUUUUCGUUCCCCAUGAGGCCACAGACAUAUGAUGAAAAGAGUAGUACAAUAUAAUACUAGGUCAAUAUAUAAUACCAGUUCCUUUACAAUGAUCACAAUCUGUUACAGCUUUCAUAAGUUCAAACAAAGGGAAAGUAUCCAUGUAAAAGACGAGGGUGAAUUCUGCAGCAGGAAGACCUAUUUAUCUUGGAUUAGAUAUAUAUCUGCCUGGAUCUAUGCUCUGUUUACACAGGAGGAGAUAAACACAAGGAGGAACAAUCUGUCAUAGGUAGUGGGACAAUACCCUUAUACUAGUCAGUGACUUUAUAGGAGACAAAAAUCAGUAGUGGAUCUAUAAGGGAUGUAGAGGUUGCAGUCUUGGUCCAAAAGGUGUCUCCGCCUAAUAUGAACAUAACCGUAAAACACAAGUAAAAGCUGUUUAACCGUGUUGCAAAUUUGGGGAGGCAGGAGCUUCAAGUUAUAUAUCUGACAGCAAUGCAAUAACACUUGCAUUUGGGUGUAUUCUGUCAGCGUUGUGUAAGACGUGAUAUCUCGAAUAUGUACUGAUUUAUUGGGAAAUAGUAACGUGUAAUAAUAACAUAUACCCAUAAGAUUAUAAUUUUGCUUGUGACUCCUAAACCUUUCCCUGCAUAGAAAUGCUGAGUCUGUCAUGCUCUUCUGAAUCUGAAAUAAGCAGGAUGAAUACUUUGGGAGUAUUUUGAUACUCCUGUCUUUUGGAACUCCAUGUGUCUUUACAGCAAACUUCACAAUGACUCAAUAGGAUAUUUAUUUAAAAAAAAGAAAGAAAAGAAAAUAGGAAACCAACCCUCCUUUCAGGGGGAACAAUAAUUAGCUUUUCUUUGUCAUAAAUAAGGCUAUGUUUACACUGUGUAAAAAUACAGGUGCUUAUUGGGAAAAAAUUUGCAAAAAACUUUAUUGGAGAAAAAAAAGAGAUCACUUUUUAUUCAGUGUGAAGAAAGCCUACAUGUCAUUAUAAUAUAUUUGCAAGCCGAAAAGGUAAAAAUUAUAGAAUUUGUAAGUAGGUAAGAGGAAGUAAGAAAUGAGUAGAUUGUGAUUAUGUGUCCUACAGUUAGCAGAUAUUAUAAACUACCAUUGUGCAUACAAUUCCUUGUCAUAUUAUCUGAUUGUCUUUAGAAGAACAUUCUCCAAAGAACUGGUAAAAGACCCCCCAAAAAAUAGACCAUCUAAGUAUUCUUUUAACUUAUAUAAACUUUGCUGACAGUGUCUACAGUGUUAACCUAUUCUGUGAAAACAUACUUUGUGUGACUUAGCCAUCACAAGUUCUUUGUU